GCUUUUUUCUUUUUUUCCAGUAAUAACAUAUGACACUAGCAAAAGUAGUUCUUUAAUCUUUGCUUGCAUUUAUGUUUUUGGUUGCUAUUUCUUAUUGCGUUCCACAUUAAUCUUUUAUGAUUUAUAUUACUUGUUGCUCUCUGAUGAUCUCCACACAGUGAUCCUUGUGUGGAGCAUUGCCUUUAGAUUGUGGAUGUUAAUGUUCGAAAGAAUUAGAUAUCUAAUUGCCAACUUUUAAAACAGGAAAUUUUGGAGUAAUCUGCAUAUCUAAUUGUCCCAUUAAUUGCCUAUGUUUUUUCAUAUUACUAGAUAGUACAAAUGUAAUCCUAGGGUAGAAGUUGUUGGGUCAUGAAUGAGAUAUUGCAAAUAUUUUGCAAUCAAGGUCAAUAAUCAUUAAUAUGCAGUACUGAGUCUCUUAAACAGUGUGUUCUGGUGCUUUGAUAUUCAUACUGUUGAACUAUCUUUAAAGUCAAUGUGUGAGAAGUGAGUGGUCUAGUUGUACUUGUGAAUGGCAUCAAGGAUUUGGUCAUUGCAUCCAAAGAUCAAAGUUAGUGAACUAUCAAGGUUUACACCCUCACUACCCCUCUCGAACAAUCGAACCCUAAAUUGGGGCAGCUUUCACUCACGCCCUCGCCAAGUUGUCGGCUCGCCACUCACCGCCUCACGCCCUCACCCAUCUCAGUCCUCAGACUUGUUCCGAUUUUAGGUUCUUCACUUCUUUUAAGUUCCAACUCUUAAGGAUUGGCAGAUUGUUUAUCAAGUGGCAGAUUGGUAUGUUUAUUUAGUGGUGCGGCAGAUUGGUACAAUGUGGAACUGGGAAAGCAUGUUUAUUUUUUUUCCUAUGAACUAUGGUAGAUUGGCAAUUUGGCAAUUUGGCUAUGGCAGUAUGGGCAAUGGGCAUAUGGCUAUGACUUUUAUUUAGUACUUUAGUGUAUGUUUGUGAAGACGGAGUAAUUUAUUUCCUUACUCUUGAGGCAGUCUCUUCAUUUUAUCUCUAUUCAGGGUGCUCAAGGUUUGAGGACGCUGAGGCAGCUCAAAAGGCACGAGCUUCUGCUGUGCUUGCUGCAGAAGGUGGUCUGGUGGUGAAGAAUUUUAUUGCUACUUUAGAUCCUGUAACAGGUAUUUUUGUGAGUGUGUUGUUGUUAGAGAUAAGAGCUGUGAGGAAGAAACAACCAGAGAAUUGAAUUAAAAGAAACCAGGAAACAAGGAUAAAAUAUCCUCCAGCAAGAAAUAGUCUUGCCCAGCUGUAAGAAGCUCUUAUUUUAUGAUUACUACUGCCUGCCUAUUACUAAGGGGAACUCCUUUAUUUAUAAUCUCAUAUAUAUGUUAUAAAAGUAAACACCCUAAAAUUCUCUCCUGAUAAUCUGCUGCAAUCCCUGAAAUCUGCUACAAUCCCUUGACUCAUGCCUUGUUUGUAUUCUGGAAAUCUGCUACUUGAUUGGAUGACUGAUUCCCCUUUCCUUUUAUUUCUUGAUUUCUUUCCUUUCUUCUUGAGUAAACAAUCCAUUUGUU